AGUGAACGCUGGCGGUAGGCCUAACACAUGCAAGUCGAACGACCGCACCGUAAGAGCUUGCUCUUACGGGUGGCGCGUGGCGGACGGGUGAGGAAUACAUCGGAAUCUACUUUUUCGUGGGGGAUAACGUAGGGAAACUUCCGCUAAUACCGCAUACGACCUCCUGGUGGAAGCAGGCGUUCUUCGGACCUUGCGCUCUUGCAAGAGCCGAUGUCGGAUUAGCUAGUUGGCGGGGUAAGGGCCCACCAAGGCGACGAUCCGUAGCUGGUCUGAGAGGAUGAUCAGCCACACUGGAACUGAGACACGGUCCAGACUCCUACGGGAGGAAGCAGUGGGGAAUAUUGGACAAUGGGCGCAAGCCUGAUCCAGCCAUACCGCGUGGGUGAAGAAGGCCUUCGGGUUGUAAAGCCCUUUUGUUGGGAAAGAAAAGCAGCAGGUUAAUACCCCGCUGUUCUGACGGUACCCAAAGAAUAAGCACCGGCUAACUUCGUG
rnacentral:rRNA from 1 species